CUCGGAGCUGUAGGACGUGGGCAGCAGAGAACACUGCCCUCGGAGGGGUCACUCCUGCCCCUUCCGGCCCGGCCCGGCCUGGGUGCUCCUAUUUGAGGGCACUGAUGUGCCCGGGCAGCCACGCGUGCAGGUCGGGGUCCUGAGCAGAGGUGGGCAAGUCCCGACUCCCCUUCUGCAUCUGGGCACAAGGACAAACUCGCAUCGUCCGGCAACCAUGAGGAGCCCCGGACAGCAGAGGCGUCAUUGUGACCGUGACUUUCCAGGACUUACAUCAUCAGAGGGUCUGCUGACAUCACCACCCACGGAAGGCUAAACGCCGCGCAAGCCCGCCAUGGUGUCUGGCCCGUAACUUUACAAAGACCCAAAGAUAGACGCUCGGAAAACGGCCAUCCCUGUGGGCCGUCUUGACCGCCUCUUACGUUGCCCCAACUGAGGUGAAGGGCCCCCUCAGAAGGGAGGUGGGGAAGUUUGGUGACAACGGUAGAAGCGGCGCCUGCCUUGGGGGUGUCGUCACUGAGACUCACUGCUGGAGAGACCCCGUGUUACCCCACCCACGUGGCAUUGCUAAUGCCCUAGGAGUCAAGCAGGGGUCAGUGUCACAUUGCGGGACACGAAAACCGCCUGGCCAGUGUGGAGGGGUCCAGUGGGAGUACAAUGUGAGUGGCCUUUGCCCUGUCCAGUUUUCUGGUAGGAGGUAAAAAGAAACAGGUAGAUUACAUUUCGUCAUAUAUUUGUACUUAGCCCAGUAGAUCCAUAUAAUCAAUAUAAAUUUAUUGAUUACAUACUUAA